GUUAGGAAUAUUGGACAAUGGGCGAAAGCCUGAUCCAGCCAUGCCGCGUGAACGAUGAAGGCCUUCGGGUUGUAAAGUUCUUUAGCCGAUGAUUAUAAUGACUGUAGUCGGAAAAUAAGCCCCGGCUAACUUCGUGCCAGCAGCCGCGGUAAUACGAAGGGGGCGAGCGUUAUUCGGAAUCACUGGGCGUAAAGCGUGCGCAGGCGGUUUUGUAAGACAGGUGUGAAAUCCCCGGGCUUAACCUGGGAACUGCGCUUGUGACUGCAAGACUCGAGUACGGCAGAGGGGGGUUGAAUUCCACGUGUAGCAGUGAAAUGCGUAGAGAUGUGGAGGAACACCGAUGGCGAAGGCAGCCCCCUGGGUCGAUACUGACGCUCAUGCACGAAAGCGUGGGGAGCAAACAGGAUUAGAUACCCUAGUAGUCC
rnacentral:rRNA from 1 species